rnacentral:rRNA from 1 species
CCUACGAGUGGCAGCAGUGAGGAAUAUUGGUCCAUGGACGAGAUUCUGAACCAGCCAAGUAGCGUGAAGGAUGACUGACCUAUGUGUUGUAAACUUCUUUUAUGAAGGAAUACAACGAGGCACGUGUGCCUUUUUGCAUGUCCUUUAUGAAUAAGGAUCGGCUAACUCCGUGCCAGCAGCCGCGGUAAUACGGAGGAUCCGAGUGUUAUCCGGAUUUAUUGGGUUUAACGGGAGCGUAGAUGGGUUGUUAAGUCUGUUGUGAAAGUUUGCGUCUCAACCGUAAAAUUGCAAUUGAUACUGGCAUUCUUGAGUACAGUUGAGGUAGGCGGAAUUCGUGGUGUAGCGGUG